CAUCCCACCCAAACGGCACCAUCUCUGCUAUAAGUAAAAAAGGAAAAAACUAAAACUUCAUUUGGCGGACUUUCUUUCUGAAAAAAAUGGGUUUCAAAUCUUUCUUUUAAAAUUCUUUAACUUCUCCCCUCCCCCUCCGUCAAUCCACGGAUUUCAUCGGCGCAUGCAGCACCUCCGUCCUUCAAGCGAAAGAGUUCAUGGGCGUGUACGUCUCCUACGUGGAGGUGGAGUGACGCACGGUGCGGAGAUUAGCGCGAUGUGCGGUGCCUGGGGACUGCUUCGGUUGCAAACGGCAGCUCCUUGGGUUUUUGUUGAAGUCUGUCUGUGUUUUGGGCCAUUUGGGCCGUGUUUGCAAAUAGGUAUUUAGGUUUGAGUCUGUUUUUGUUGGUUUUUAGAGGUUUGGGCUGGGCAAAUUUUGGGCCCUACAAACAUAAAUGAUUAAAUAUUAUUUUGCACUUCAUUUUCAAAAAGAAAGAAAGAAAAGGUUAAAGACCAAACCUGUUGCGGUCAAUAACUGAACGAGAGAAGUUGAACUUGUGGGUAAUAAUGUCUUUUGACUAAAAGACAAUAAUUAUGGAUAAAAUAUGCUGUUAGUCCUUAUAUUUUGACAAAAUUAGAGAUUUAGUUUCUGUGCUUUAAAACUUAAAAA